UCGCUCAUCUCGAUUGAGUUUUAUUAUGUUCAAAUCGAAAACCCCAGGUGUAAUCAAAGUACUAGACCUAAUCUGAUUUACCUAUGUCCAAUCUCUUAUGCAUAAAUAUAAAUUUCAGAUCUAAAUUUUAAAUUUUAGAUCUAAAUUAUUCACAUAAAAUAACAUAUUAUAAUCUUGAAACUAUUUUUUAGAUCUAAGCAAUCAUUCAUAUAUCUCAUACAUGAUUAAAAUCAGAUCUAAAAAUGUUCAACAUCGAUAUAGGACAAUCUUUACAACAUAAGGGAUAAAUCUUAUGCCAGGAC
rnacentral:lncRNA from 1 species